rnacentral:lncRNA from 1 species
UUCGUUCUUCUGAUACUCAAGCUCUCAGUUUCCUUCUCAUACUCCAUCUUCACUUGUAAUCAGGUGUCUACUUCUUUCGCGGUAAUUGUUUUCUCCAAUUAAUUUCUCUUAUUGCACUUGUUUUGUGGGUAAAUUUUUAAUAGAUUCUUACAUGAGUAUGUUAAUGUGACCUUCACAUACAUAUGUACAGACUGAUACUCCAACUACUGAUUUGGAUGAUUAUUGUUUGGUGCCUCUACUUAUUAACUUUCUCAUGUAUUUUGCUUUGGAAAAUCGCUGACCCUAAUGGCGUUUUGUUAGUAUUAUCUUUUGUUACAAACUAAUUACAGAAUUAGUCCUGUCUUGGAGAAAGUUCUUCUACUAACUGUUGAUAUGUGUCAACUUCUGCUAUUUAGUGAUUCCUCAACCCUAAGUUUUUUCCAUGAAGAAAAAUCGAUAAUCCUUGCACCACCAUCUUCGGAUCACCCCACUUGUGGAAUUACACUUGAUACGUGGUUGUUAGUUGAGGCAAUCCUUGAUUCUUCGGCGGGAAAUUCACUUAUUAGAUCUAUUAUAACUUAAUCACAAACUUCGUUUCCAAGGGAUUGUGUAACUUUGGUUAUAUUUAGCGAGGAAAUCCUUCACUACUUUUCCAGUGUCGAUGUUCCUCCAUUAGAUCCAUGCCAAGGAUAUCUGGCUUGAAUCCAACCCCUUUUCCCGUUAUCUGAUGAUGACCUGGUUUUCCACCAUUCAGUAUAUUACUUUCAGUUGGCUCGAAUCCAUAUAAGCACAACGUUAACUAUUUUUGACAUAGGAUUGUUCUCAAUUUCUUGACAUGGGAUUAUCUUGGAAGUUUACCGAUUCUGUUUCGAGGAAUCAAGAGUAUUACAUUAGAGUAUAUAUUUAACUUGACAUUAGGAUUUUUGGAUUUAAGAUGUUGUCCAACAUCAGUAUUCCCAUGAAAAAUAUGUCAAUAUUACCUAGAGUUUCUUCCCAUAUUUCAGGGCAUGUUGUGUCAAAAUGAUCCUGCUUUCGAUAUGAAGCAAUUGAGAAUUCUGUAGUAAAACAGAGAAUACAUUAAUUAAGUUAGGUUUCUUAAAAUUACCUGAGUGUUUGCAGGGUUGUAGAAUUGUUGAAGCAUGAAAGCAUUAGGUGUAGAUUCCAAAAGUUCAUAAGCCUUCUUAACAAUGCCUGUCAUUCCUAGGUUGGAUCGAUGAGGAUUAAAUCGGCUCUAAAUGCUCUCAUUUUCCCUUUCCUCUCUAUGCUCGUGUACGAAGGCAUUUUCAAAACCAUUUUGUAGCCUUUCAUUGCUGUCAUAAAUGCUAUACUGAUCCCCAUAUUUCCUGAUGUUUGCUCAAUCAACAUCCUCUAAUUAUAAAUAAUAAUCAACAAGCAUGUCAGAGAUCAAAAUAAUUGUGUGCUCAAUCUGUUGCCAUUGUUUUGUUUUAAUUUCCAGAUGUAUUAGAUUUUAAGACCAAGCUAAUCAAUUUUCAAAUUACACAUAAGUAAUUACCUGUGAAAAUUUCUCCUUCGUUUCAGACUGGUGCAAUACCUUUUAGUUUUUUGUUUUCUAUCAUAUGAAGAUUAUACAUUUUUAUUCAUGUAUGAAUAGAGGCUUUAGACUGACUGAGUAUAUAAGUUUAUUCUGCAUAUUUUUUCCAUUUACUCAUAAGUAGAUAAUUUUCUUUUGCUAGCUGUUUAAUUUACUUUAUUGGCCAAUUUGCCUUAAAAUUAUUUGUUUAGUAGCUUUUAUAUGUCUUUACUUUAGGAUAGCCCUCAUUUUAUCUUAUGUUUCUGGUUUUAUCUUACGUCUCUGGCUGAUGAUUGAUUCCUUUAUAUAAUUGAGAUUUACAAGUGCUAAGUUAGGUAUCAGUGCAGUCCUUUAGUGUCGUGUUUUGUAUAAAAUAGUUGAGGUUUGAUAUUCGGAUAAGCUUAGGUUUAAUUGGAAUUUGGCCAAGACGGAGUGGACAGUUAAUCAUCUCCCGUCUCUUUGAUCGGAGUUUGAAGUAUGGAGAAUCAAACAAAUUCUCCAUGCCAUGGACUGUUCUCCAGGCGAUUAUCAGCAUUGUACUACAGAAGAAAGUAGGCCAUGAAACAUAAGUAAGUGCUAAAAAAUUGGUUGAUACAAAGAAGGGUCUAAGACCUCAAGAUCUUGAGUUAAAUCUUUCUAGAAGAUUGAUAGUCAAUAUGAACAUUUGGAAUGUGGCGGUCUUGGAUAGUACAACCGGAAUGCUGUCAAAUGCAAAUCUAGAAUCCCUUUUUGCAAAAAUUAUAGUUUGGAGUUACGCUAUGAAGUGUUGCUCCAGGAAGGCCAUUUAAAG